UACGAGGGGGGCGAGCGUUGUUCGGAAUUAUUGGGCGUAAAGGGUGCGUAGGCGGUUUGGUAAGUCUUAUGUGAAAUCUACAGGCUCAACUUGUAGUCUGCAUGAGAAACUGCCGGGCUUGAGUGUGGGAGAGGUGAGUGGAAUUCCUGGUGUAGCGGUGAAAUGCGUAGAUAUCAGGAGGAACACCUGUGGCGAAAGCGGCUCACUGGACCAUAACUGACGCUGAUGCACGAAAGCCAGGGGAGCGAACGGG
rnacentral:rRNA from 1 species